GUAGGUGGCAAGCGUUGUCCGGAAUUAUUGGGCGUAAAGCGCGCGCAGGCGGUUCGUUUAAGUCUGAUGUGAAAGCCCACGGGCUCAACCGUGGAGGGUCAUUGGAAACUGGAGAACUUGAGUACAGAAGAGGAAAGCGGAAUUCCACGUGUAGCGGUGAAAUGCGUAGAGAUGUGGAGGAACACCAGUGGCGAAGGCGGCUUUCUGGUCUGUAACUGACGCUGAGGCGCGAAAGCGUGGGGAGCAAACAGGAUUGGAUACCCUGGUAGUCCACGCCGUAAACGAUGAGUGCUAAGUGUUAGGGGGUUUCCGCCCCUUAGUGCUGCAGCUAACGCAUUAAGCACUCCGCCUGGGGAGUACGGCCGCAAGGCUG
rnacentral:rRNA from 1 species